rnacentral:piRNA from 1 species
CAAGUGGCUGGCUGGAUCUGGGA